UUUAUAUUCAAGUCAACCUUUAUUGAUCAAUGCACAGUAGUAUUUACUUCCAAACCUCACACUUUUGACAGUUCCAUCGAUCCAAACAAAGGAAGCGGCUUCCACACCAUCACUCAUCUUUCAUUAGAUUACAGGAGACGCAGAAAUCAUUAUUUUAGACAUAAUGGCACAUAAAGACUGAAAAAUGGUCUGUUUUGGCUAUGGCCCGUUGACAUUUCAUCUCAAAUGAUGGUUUCUAUCCUAAUAUCUAAUGUUCUAUCCUCAGAGCUGCUGGCUUUUUCAAUAAACGAAAUGGAGCCUCUGACUUGGCUAAUGCUGCCUCUGACCAGCGGAUCGGGACACAAAUUUGUUUUUAAUACAGGAAAGUACAGUUUUGACCUCUAAAUGUAACUCAGCACCACAGGCAGCUGUAAUAUCAUCAGUGAUAAUGGCAGAAAAUGGCAGAGAGGGGAAUCAAAUCAACACAAGCAUGAUGGAUAGAUGGAUGGCAGGGAUGUUAGUAAUGUCUGCCUUCACCCUCUGUCCCUUUCUCACAUGCGACUCCAUCUCGUCGAAUUCUAAUUCUUGGAUGCUGAACUGCAAAGAACAGGCCAGCGCUGCUUAUGAAAGCCUUUCACAUACGCGGCGAGGGUACAUGCAAGCACAUGCAAAUAGGAAGCAUUUGCAUGUGCUUAGCAUUAGCAUUCAUUAUCCGCGGCGUCGCAUGGGGCUCGUGCGAGAGGUGGCAAGAGUGCGUUUCGCGAACUCGUCCUCAGCGAGACACCGAUCAUUUCUAACUCUUGAGCCUGGAUUCUAAUUCAGUGCCGGGAUACAAAACUGCUGGCUGGUGAAACGGAUACAGCUCGCCUUGGUGGAAAGUAAGAGUUUCCUUUUAUGUCAAACUCAACAGUUAAAGGAAAUUAAAAAUGAUUUCACAGCCUGCUAUAACAGGAGCGCUCAUUUUAUGGUAAAUUAGGCUGUGACAAUUACAUUGCUCGGACCACGGGGUGGUCUGCGGAAGCCACGCGCAAAAGUGUGCACAAUCAGCGCAGGCUUCGAGUGGGCGUCUUCCAGACUUGAAAAUAAUUAACACGAGAAUAAUGUGCUCUAAUUCGAUAGUGACGAGAAAUAUAUAAAUAGGAGGAAAGAGUCCACGUGAAAUGGGAGUCUCUGGAUUCUCAGUCUGCUCACUGACCAGCUGCAGUCUCAACCGGCUCCUUUCUCUUUUUCCUCAUCUCCCCCCAACCUCUAAAUCAGCUGGCUCCUUUGGAUGACAUGGCAGCCGGCCACCUCUCACCACCCAUUUGCUCCUCUUCCCUUCCCCCACCCACCCCCAUCACCUCCCACAACCCCUGCCAGGAACAGAACUGGGCCUCGAGGCCACUCCUUUUCAGCUCCGUCUGACCACGACACCAUGCUGAGCUGCUCCCGUGCACGGCUUCAACUGCAGAGGAGACAAAAAAAAAAAAAAGGAAAAAAAAAAAAGAUGUUGGCAUGAGAGGACAUGUAAAUACACAAUGCUGAUUCUUAAUGUCCCUAAGUCGUCCCUUGUUUCCUGCUCUGCGGCAAUUUAGAAUGAAAAAGGCGGAAAAAAAAUACGAGGCCACUUUUCUAAUUCAAUUUUUAAGCAUUGGCUGCAAUAAUUAAAAGGUCAUUUUCCUGCCAAGCAGCACAGCUCUUCUGCUGUAACUAAGCAACAUUUUAAGUGAAACAUAAUUAUUGGCAAGACUGCCGAUUUUGGAUUAGCGCAUUACCAUUUCAAUCAACAGCUAAUGUGUUCGCAGCGCUCUGAUUCAGAGUAUUUUCCAGCAAUUUGAAAGAAACACGAAGCGGAAUCCAACAAUUCUGAGACGCCUGAACUUGAAGCCGCUGGAACGAGAGGAUUUUGAUAUAUAUAUAAAUUUUUUUUAAAGAAAGGAUUUUCUUCCUAAAAAUAGUCAUAUUGAGCACAUUCUUCUAACAAGUGGGUGACCUUUCUGUCAAAACACCUCCUUUAAAGUGGCCUUAAAUGCUUUGUUAUCCACUUUCUCUGCCAGCUUCUAAAAGCCUGAACACCGAGCAAUACUUUUCCAGCCAUCAUUCAACUUUUCCUGCCUUCAAGGUGCAGACAGGACAUCAUAAGAAAAACACCCCCCGCCCAACCCCUCUCGUUCCAUUUCAGGAAUGGCCAGAGUCCUCAUGCUGCUCUUUUCCUUCAGUCAGAGUGAGUGAGGCUACAGAUCCUCAUUAGUCACUUUUCCUGAGACCACCCCGACACGGGCAUCGAGCUCUCCUCGCUCGCUCAGACUUGCUGAAGGCUAGCCGCGGCCACACACCAAUUCACAGGCAUUGUGAGAAGCAGAGGCGACUUACGGGAGCCCGGGCAAUCAUCAGAAUCAACCAACCUUUGAAAUGCUGUGAAUAUCAUGAACGUGCUGCUGCUGCAUAAUGUUACACCGGCUGAACGGAGCCAGAGGCGUUUGCAGCAGUGCGGGGGGGGUGGGGAGUUAAAUGGCCGUACCAGUGCCUUUGAAUGUUUAAGAACAUUACCUACAAACUGUGUAGACACUCUCAGGCUAGUCUUACACUUACGCUGAUAUAAAUAUUAUAAGAAGAGUCCUUUCAGAA
ensembl:lncRNA